CGCCAGACUCCUACGGGAGGCAGCAGUGGGGGAUAUUGCACAAUGGGGGAAACCCUGAUGCAGCGACGCCGCGUGGGCGAAGAAGUAUUUCGGUAUGUAAAGCCCUAUCAGCAGGGAAGAAGAAAUGACGGUACCUGAGUAAGAAGCACCGGCUAAAUACGUGCCAGCAGCCGCGGUAAUACGUAUGGUGCAAGCGUUAUCCGGAUUUACUGGGUGUAAAGGGAGCGCAGGCGGCACGGCAAGCCUGAUGUGAAAGCCCGCGGCCCAACCGCGGGACUGCAUUGGGAACUACCGGGCUGGAGUGCCGGAGAGGUAGGCGGAAUUCCUAGUGUAGCGGUGAAAUGCGUAGAUAUUAGGAGGAACACCAGUGGCGAAGGCGGCCUGCUGGACUGCAACUGACGUUGAGGCUCGAAGGCGUGGGGAGCAAACAGGAUUAGAUACCCCUGUAC
rnacentral:rRNA from 1 species